GCCAGGUACCUAUAUAUCUAUGUUGCUGCAAUGUGGUCAAUAAAAACAUGAAAAUCAUAAAUGCAUCUACUGUAAUGUAGUCAAUACAAAAAUGAUAAUCAUAAAUGUAUCUUAAACUAGAUGUGUGAAAGCAACACGAAAGGCUACGUCUCAAAAAUUUGAAAAUCUGCAAUUUCAAUAACACAUGUGGAUACAAACAUGAUGGUUGUCUCACAUAUAAAAAAAUCAGCUCUAAAUCUGGAGGCAUAUACAAAAAUGUCCAUAUAAAUGUGAUUUUUGAACAAUUUUCAAAGUUUAAAACCCUUAAUUCUGGAAAAAAUUACACAGCGGAACGAAACUUAAACUUGAUAUGUAACUCAUCAUGGUUAGCUCACAUACCAAAAAAUCAGCCCAAUAUCUGAAAGCAUUUUAAUAGAAGAAAGG
rnacentral:lncRNA from 1 species